rnacentral:lncRNA from 1 species
CUAUAGCUUCUUCCCGUAAAAUCCAGUUACAAAAGCUCCAUGACAUGGGCUACAAAAGUUUUCUCUUUUGAAAUAUAGAUAUAGAAAUCGAGAAUAUAGAUCUUUAGCAUGUCUCGCAUGAAAGGAUUAUAGGUGGCAUGUAGCACCUUUCAUUUUCUUUUUACAUUGGGAUACUUCAAAGUUCAAAAAUCCACAUAUAACGUAAAGGGAG